AUGCAAGUCGAACGAAGCGCUUAAACGGAUUUCUUCGGAUUGAAGUUUUUGCGACUGAGUGGCGGACGGGUGAGUAACGCGUGGGUAACCUGCCUCAUACAGGGGGAUAACAGUUAGAAAUGACUGCUAAUACCGCAUAAGCGCACAGUACUGCAUGGCACAGUGUGAAAAACUCCGGUGGUAUGAGAUGGACCCGCGUCUGAUUAGCUAGUUGGUGGGGUGACGGCCUACCAAGGCGACGAUCAGUAGCCGGCCUGAGAGGGUGAACGGCCACAUUGGGACUGAGACACGGCCCAAACUCCUACGGGAGGCAGCAGUGGGGAAUAUUGCACAAUGGGGGAAACCCUGAUGCAGCGACGCCGCGUGAGCGAAGAAGUAUUUCGGUAUGUAAAGCUCUAUCAGCAGGGAAGAAAAUGACGGUACCUGACUAAGAAGCACCGGCUAAAUACGUGCCAGCAGCCGCGGUAAUACGUAUGGUGCAAGCGUUAUCCGGAUUUACUGGGUGUAAAGGGAGCGUAGACGGUUGUGUAAGUCUGAUGUGAAAGCCCGGGGCUCAACCCCGGGACUGCAUUGGAAACUAUGUAACUAGAGUGUCGGAGAGGUAAGCGGAAUUCCUAGUGUAGCGGUGAAAUGCGUAGAUAUUAGGAGGAACACCAGUGGCGAAGGCGGCUUACUGGACGAUCACUGACGUUGAGGCUCGAAAGCGUGGGGAGCAAACAGGAUUAGAUACCCUGGUAGUCCACGCCGUAAACGAUGACUACUAGGUCUCGGGGAGCAAAGCUCUUCGGUGCCGCAGCAAACGCAAUAAGUAGUCCACCUGGGGAGUACGUUCGCAAGAAUGAAACUCAA
rnacentral:rRNA from 1 species